UACGAAGGGUGCAAGCGUUACUCGGAAUUACUGGGCGUAAAGCGUGCGUAGGUGGUUUGUUAAGUCUGAUGUGAAAGCCCUGGGCUCAACCUGGGAAUUGCAUUGGAUACUGGCAGGCUAGAGUGCGGUAGAGGAUGGCGGAAUUCCCGGUGUAGCAGUGAAAUGCGUAGAGAUCGGGAGGAACAUCUGUGGCGAAGGCGGCCAUCUGGACCAGCACUGACACUGAGGCACGAAAGC
rnacentral:rRNA from 1 species